rnacentral:tRNA from 1 species
GCCAGUGUGGUGUAGUGGUUUGAGUGUUGGACUAUGACUCUGGAGAUCAGAGUUCAAUUCCCUGCUCAGCCA